rnacentral:pre_miRNA from 1 species
CGAAUACUCCCUCCGUUCGGAAAUACUUGUCAUCAAAACGAAUAAAAAGGGAUGUAUCUAGAUGUAUAUUAGUUCUAGAUACAUCCCUUUUUAUCCAUUUUGAUGACAAGUAUUUUCGGACGGAGGGAGUAGAUG